CAGGGUGUAGCUCAGUCUGGCUAGAGCGCAACGUUCGGGACGUUGAGGCCGCAGGUUCAAAUCCUGUCACCCUGAC
rnacentral:tRNA from 1 species